GAUGUACGCUGGCGGCGUGCCUAAUACAUGCAAGUCGAGCGAACAGACGAGGAGCUUGCUCCUCUGACGUUAGCGGCGGACGGGUGAGUAACACGUGGAUAACCUACCUAUAAGACUGGGAUAACUUCGGGAAACCGGAGCUAAUACCGGAUAAUAUAUUGAACCGCAUGGUUCAAUAGUGAAAGACGGCUUUGCUGUCACUUAUAGAUGGAUCCGCGCCGCAUUAGCUAGUUGGUAAGGUAACGGCUUACCAAGGCAACGAUGCGUAGCCGACCUGAGAGGGUGAUCGGCCACACUGGAACUGAGACACGGUCCAGACUCCUACGGGAGGCAGCAGUAGGGAAUCUUCCGCAAUGGGCGAAAGCCUGACGGAGCAACGCCGCGUGAGUGAUGAAGGUCUUCGGAUCGUAAAACUCUGUUAUUAGGGAAGAACAAAUGUGUAAGUAACUAUGCACGUCUUGACGGUACCUAAUCAGAAAGCCACGGCUAACUACGUG
rnacentral:rRNA from 1 species